UACGAAGGGGGCUAGCGUUGUUCGGAAUCACUGGGCGUAAAGCGCACGUAGGCGGAUCUUUAAGUCAGGGGUGAAAUCCCGGGGCUCAACCCCGGAACUGCCUUUGAUACUGGUAGUCUCGAGUCCGGAAGAGGUGAGUGGAAUUCCGAGUGUAGAGGUGAAAUUCGUAGAUAUUCGGAGGAACACCAGUGGCGGAAGGCGGACUCACUGGUCCGGUACUGACGCUGAGGUGCGGAAAGCGUGGGGAGCAAACAGGG
rnacentral:rRNA from 1 species